ACUUAAAUAGCUUAUAUUUAGAGCAUAACAUUGAAGAUGUUAGAGAAGUUUUAAACUUUUAAGUA
rnacentral:tRNA from 1 species